CUAGCUGCUCCCCUUGUCUCCCAAGAUCAUUGAGAGGACCAGAUGAGACAAUACAUGUGAAAUAGGUGAAAGCAGCAACAGAAGGACUGGAAGCUGAAGACAUUCUGCAGAUGGGAGAACCAUUUCUGCAAAUGACUCCCUUGCAGAAGUUCAGAUGUGCAAAUCAGAGAGCUCAAUGGCCCAGAUGGAAGUAGUGGAAAGAAGACCCUGAGCCUCACUCAUCAUCAUCUUUGCUCCCUCCACCUGCGCAUCCUCCUUGUUGCCUGAUGCAUGUCCAGAAACGCCUGUGAAGAAUCCCUAGUGCUCCUUUGAGCAUGGUUUCAGAAUAAUCAGCCUCAUCAUUUUGUAGAUGAGGAAUCAAACCCAGAGGAAAGAAUUGACUUGUCUGGAGUAGAAUCAGGACUAGAAUCUAUCUCUCCCAAUUCCUAGCCAAAACAUUUUUUUAAACCAUGUUAUGCUAUCCCACUGCUUGUGAAACUAAAAUCAAUUGCCCUCAAUAAAAGUCUCUAAGAA